rnacentral:rRNA from 1 species
GACGUAGGGCGCGAGCGUUGUCCGGAUUUAUUUGGGCGUAAAGAGCUCGUAGGCGGCUUGUUGCGUCAGUCUGUGAAAAACCCGCAGCUCAACUGUGGGCUUGCAGCUGAUACGGGCAGGCUUGAGUUCGGAUAGGGGAGACUGGAAUUCCUGGUGUAGCGGUGAAAUGCGCAGAUAUCAGGAGGAACACCGGUGGCGAAGGCGGGUCUCUGGGCCGAUACUGACGCUGAGGAGCGAAAGCGUGGGGAGCGAACAGG